ensembl:lncRNA
CAUCAGGACCACAAGUCUGUGUGGGAUGGAGACACGAAGCCCCAGCGUCUCUAGAGGGUGUAGCACGAAACUGUUCUGCCGGAAAUCCUUAUCCGUUCCUGGGCAGCACAUUCUCUCCAACUGACACUCCAACUGCUCUAAACGAAACGAUGUAAAUAGAGCAGCAAGUGCCAUCAGGAGGAGUUUGAAGCCCAAACAGCAUAAGAGAGAAAGACCCACUUCUCCCUCCAGCCCUCCAUCCCUGACAGUUCAUGUUUGGGCGUGUGCAGAAGCAGCUCCUGGCUGUGGGGCUCAGUAGAGCUGCUC